GAUGAAGAACGCAGCGAAAUGCGAUACGUAAUGUGAAUUGCAGAAUUCAGUGAAUCAUCGAGUCUUUGAACGCACAUUGCGCCCCCUGGUAUUCCGGGGGGCAUGCCUGUCCGAGCGUCAUUGCUGCCCUCAAGCCCGGCUUGUGUGUUGGGUCUCGUCCCCCUUCCCGGGGGGACGGGCCCGAAAGGCAGCGGCGGCACCGCGUCCGGUCCUCGAGCGUAUGGGGCUUUGUCACCCGCUCUGUAGGCCCGGCCGGCGCUUGCCGAUCAACCAAAACUUUUUUCCAGGUUGACCUCGGAUCAGGUAGGGAUACCCGCUGAACUUAAGCAUAUCAAUAGCGGAGGA
rnacentral:misc_RNA from 1 species